UUUUGAAAGAAAACAAGAGCAGUUGUAGGCUGAUUUCCCCAAGAACUGCAGGCUCUUCUAUUCUAGGAAACAGUCAAAAGAACAAGAGGCCGCUGAGGACAAAACUUCUCUGCAAAAUCCUGCACACGGGGGUGUGUGCAGCCACCCAUUAGGAGGACAGAAAGAUGGGCUUCUCCUUUCUCAAGCGUUAUCUGCACCUGUUGAUGUUCUGACGUUAUUUUCAGCUGAAGAACUGCUAAGUCCUGGAUUUCCCUGCUGACUUUCGACCACAGGAAGCUUCAUAUUUCAAAAAUCUGUGAAGCCUUCCCAAGAUGUACCGAAUUUCUCAACUGAUGUCAACACCAGUAGCAACUAAAUAUUCUUCCCCCUGGUCUGAGAAACAAGACGCUGGAGAGCCGUCUCCCACAUGCAUUUUCCCAAGUUUUCUCUCUGAUUUCCUGGAUGGUGACAGUUCCUUUGAAUGCUGCUCCACAGACCCCCUGACAGGUUCCCACUUCACCUGUCGCCGAAGUCCCAGACUCCUCACCAAUGGCUACUACAUUUGGACAGAAGACAGUUUUCUCUGUGAAAAGGAUGGUCACGUAACUCUGAGCCCAUCCCAGACCAGUGUUCUGUACAAGGAGAACUUAGUCAGAGUAUUUAGAAAGAAAAAGAGAACCCGCCGUUCUUUUUCUUCUCUCUUCAACCUCAGUGCCUCUGAAUCCUGGCUGCACGGAAGUAUCUUUGGUGAUGUUGACUCUUCCCCAAGUGAGGACAUCUGGUUGGAGGGGGUCAGGAGACUGGACACAAACCAUCACAAUGCAAUUGGAGGUGAUUUUGACUGUUCUCUGACUGAUGACUGGGAGUCGGAGAAGCCAAAUGCCGAGUCUGUGAAAUCCUCCAUUUCUGGCCUCGUUACAUCUCAGACUCCCAGAGAAAAUUCCCGUAACUCGUGUCUGCAGUCCCAGUUGAUGGCUUCUGACCAGGAGAACAUUUGGGAUUAUUCAAAAACCAGUUUGUUACAAGAGGUUUCCUUUCAAGCAAUCCUGCUCGCUGCAUGCUUAAUCAUUUCUGCCUAUGCGAGAUGGUUUCUGGGAGGAAUACUAGCCAGUGUCUUCACGUGCUCCUUGGUGGUAACUAUUGCUUAUGUUGUCAAGUCAUCAUUUCUCAGCCUUGCCAACUAUUUCAAAGCCAUCACUUGUGCUUGAUCUAUGAAAGCAAGAACUAUUGACUUCAUUCUUGUAUCCAUCUCAAUGCCUUGAAAAUAGUUUGCCAGAAUUUGACAACCAUUCAAGAAUGCCUCUGAUGAAUGUUUCAGUCUGAAUACCCAGAAAUUGUCCUAUUUGUAGCCCACUUGGAAUCAACUGUUUUAUUGGAAGUGAUUGAACAACUGGAUAAUCGAGAAAAAAAAAUUUAAUUUGGUUAUUUGUUUUUUUAAAAAGAAAAUCUCAGUUUUGCCCUCACAAUUAUAAUAUGCUCAUAAAAAUAGUA